rnacentral:rRNA from 1 species
AAUAGAUACCCUGGUAGUCCACACAGUAAACGAUGAAUACUCGCUGUUUGCGAUAUACCGCAAGCGGCCAAGCGAAAGCAUUAAGUAUUCCACCUGGGGAGUACGCCGGCAACGGUGAAACUCAAAGGAAUUGACGGGGGGCCCGCACAAGCGGAGGAACAUGUGGUUUAAUUCGAUGAUACGCGAGGAACCUUACCCAGGCUUAAAUUGCAGAUGAAUAUUUAGGAAACUAGAUAGCCUUCGGGCAUCUGUGAAGGUGCUGCAUGGUUGUCGUCAGCUCGUGCCGUGAGGUGUCGGCUUAAGUGCCAUAACGAGCGCAACCCUUAUUGAUAGUUACUAACAGGUUAAGCUGAGGACUCUAUCGAGACUGCCGUCGUAAGAUGCGAGGAAGGUGGGGAUGACGUCAAAUCAGCACGGCCCUUACGUCUGGGGUCUACACACGUGUUACAAUGGGGGGUACAGAAGGUCGCUACCUGGCAACAGGAUGCUAAUCCCAAAAGCCUCCCUCAGUUCGGAUUGGAGUCUGCAACCCGA